UUUUUUUUUUUGAGACUGAGCCUUGCUCUGUCACCCAGACUGGACAGCACGGUGAAACCCCAUCUCUACUAAAAUACAAAAAAUUAACAGGGUGUGGCAGCGUGUGCCUGUAGUCCUAGCUAUUCUGGAGGCUGAAGCAGGAGAAUUGCUUAAACCCGGGAGGCAGAGGUUGCAGUGAGCUGAGAUUGCACCACUGCUCUCUAGCCUGGGUGACAGAGUGAGAUUCCGUCUCAAAAAAAAAAAAUUAAUUGUGAUAAAAUACAUAUAAUAUACAAUUUCCCAUCUUAACCUUUUUAGUGUGCAGUUCAACAGUGUUAAGUAUGUGUAUAUUGUGCAACCAAUCUCUAGAACUUUCUCAUCUUGCAAAACUGAAACUCUACACCCAUUAAGCAACAACUCCCAGUCCCCCUGCCCCCAGCCUCUGGUGACCACCUCCACUUUCUGUCUGUGUGAAUUCAACCAUUUUAGGGACCUCAUACUGUAUUUGUCUUUUUGUGAUUGGCUUAUGUCACUUAGGAUAAUGUUUUCAAGGGCCAUCAGUGUUAUAGCAUUGUGUCAGAAUUUCCAUCCUUCGAAAGGCUGGAUAAUAUUCAUUGUGUGUUUAUACCACACUUUGUUUAUCCAUUCAGCCACUGAUGGACACUUGAAUUGCUGUCACCUUUAGCUAUUGUGAAUAAUGCUUAAGUAUAUUUCUUUAUGCGUUGAAACCUUUUAAGAUGCAGUAGGCUCUUGAUAAUCCAGUG
rnacentral:lncRNA from 10 species